UUGUGCUUUCAACAACAAAACCAAGAAACUAGGAGCAGAUACUUGAUUUAGCCCCAAUACAUAAAAUAAGAGGCAUUGGUGAAGCUCAGCCCGUUCCUUUGAUGAGGGUCUCUGAGGAAUCUCACCUGUAACCAAUUUAUCUUCUGGGUCAGGUUGCAGAACAUGUGAGCACAGACAGUAUUCUUUUGUGCUUUGUUCUUGUAGUUUGUAAUUUGGAGUUCAGUCUUAACAGAUGUGAUUUUUUCCUGUCUCAAUGUUGGAUAAAUGAACAAUUGGGGAAAUACUGUUUUACUUGAGCAGCUUUAUUUCCUGAAAACUUGGACUUUGCGAUAUACUUAGUAAACUGCUCUGUGUCAUGUACCUGCAGCUAUGAAGCUAAAGAGAUGGGAACUUGAAGCAGCUACAAUACCAGGCAAAGGGAAAGACUAGCACCUCAGCUUGGAUAGGUUAGCAAGCCUCUGCUGGUUCAACCUUUUGUGAUGCUGUUGGAGGAUAUGAUCUGUCAACUGCAGAAAAUCAUGAAGAACAGAUUGGUACACACAUACAGUAAGUGCAGCUUCUCAGAGGAGCAUAAGGACAACAGUUUUCACUGGCUGGAAAGUGAGAACAUUUGCACACUGACCUGAACAAAUGUGUAGAAAAUGCCUUGCGUUGAGAGGUAUUACGGAUAAGUUUGGUUUGUGAAAUGUCAGUGUGGGUGGAUGUGAGAUGAUUGAAAGGAGUUCAAUAUUGACAAAAAACUAUGAAAACCGUCAGCAAUCUAAGACAGCACCUACUCGUAGAAGACAUACCUUUGUGAAACCUGCAUGAAAUAAACAACAGCGAUAUCAUCAUCAAUAAGGAGAAAGCUUCUCCUGAAAAGGCCCUGGAGAAUGCUGCUGUGGAUGGCAACGAGUGUGAGUCAUCUGGCUAUAGAGCUGGAAGUGUAAUAUUAAAGAAAAUAAAUAACAAGACUGAAAAGAGCAUUAAAUGAGGAAAUGAGGCAUGAAUGCGUGAGACAGAGGUUAUUCUACUGCAUGCAAGUAGAUACCACCUAAUUACUUGGGAAGUAGCACUUAGUAAGUACAAGAUCAUGAAUGAACUAGAA